GACCUUGUAGUACAAUGGGUAGCACGUUGGACUUCUACCUCAAAGGUCGUGGGUUCGAAUCCCACCUGGGUUG